rnacentral:tRNA from 1 species
GCGGUGUUAGCUCAGCUGGAUAGAGUGCCUGGCUACGAACCAGUAGGUCGGGGGUUCGAAUCCCUUACACCGUGCCA